GCCUGGUUGGUGCAGUUGGUAGAACAAGCAGCUCUUGAUCUCAGAGUUGUGAGUUUGAGUCCUACCAUGGGUG
rnacentral:tRNA from 1 species